rnacentral:rRNA from 1 species
AUUGAACGCUGGCGGCAUGCUUUAUACAUGCACGUCGGACGAGUGGCAAACGGGUGAGUCAUAUAUUGGAACGUACCGCGUACUGGGGGAUAACCAAUCGAAAGAUUGGCUAAUACCGCAUAUUAUUCGAGCGGCAAAUAGCUGAUUAGCUCGUUGGUGGGGUAAAGGCCUCCCAAGGCGACGAUCAGUAGCGGGUCUGAGGGGACGAUCGGCUACCCUGGUUCUGAGACGCGGCCCAGACUCCGACGGGAGGCAGCAGUGGUGAAUGUUGUACAAUGGGCGCAAGUCUGAUCCAGCCAUGCCGUGUGUCUGAAGAAGGCCUUCGGGUUGUAAAGGACUUUUGUUAGGGAAGCGGUACCUAAAUCAUAAGCACCGUCUAACUACGUGCCAGCAGCCGCGGUAAUAC